CAGUAGCCACGGUAAUACGGAGGGAGCUAGUGUUGUUCGGAAUCACUGGGCGUAAAGCGCACGUAGGCGGCUAUUCAAGUCAGGGGUGAAAGCCCGGGGCUCAACCCCGGAACUGCCUUUGAAACUAGAUAGCUUGAAUCUUGGAGAGGCGAGUGGAAUUCCGAGUGUAGAGGUGAAAUUCGUAGAUAUUCGCAAGAACACCAGUGGCGAAGGCGGCUCACUGGCCCGGUACUGACGCUGAGGCGCGAAAGCGUGGGGAGCAAACAGGAUUAGAUACCCCCGUAGUCCCUGUCUCUUAUAC
rnacentral:rRNA from 1 species